CUCUGCACAGCACAAACAGAACCAGAAGCCUACGAUUAGUACAUCCAAAGUACAGGGACACAUACAUGCAGUCCUUUCUUGACACAUCAGGUCCGGACAGUGUCAGGAGAAAAACAUCGACCUUAAAGCAUCAAAGUGCCAACUGUGAUAAGGGCUGGUGAAACUGGUCAAAUUACACAUGGCACCAUCACUGAAGCAAUACAUCGUCCAGAUGCAACAACGUCUGCUGUCAGGACUGUGGGACUGAGUCCUCACCUGCAACCAGGUAGCAGCACAUUCCAGGAUAGGAACCCUGCUCACAGCAAUAGCCAUGGAGACCAAUUUGCCCAGCAGUGCCAUGCGGCUUUCAUCUGCCUGGUUGCCUUGGAGAUUAAAAAGGGCAGCAAACAUAAGUUGACGGACAGCAUCACGACUUUGCUCCUGAAAACAGCUGCACA